rnacentral:misc_RNA from 1 species
CCGAGUUUACAACUCCCAAACCCCUGUGAACUUAUACCUUUACUGUUGCUUCGGCGGGUCAUGGCCCCGGGGAGUCAGGUGCCGCAAGGCCCCUGCCCACCCGGAAACAGGCGCCCGCCGGGGGACUCAAACUCUUCUGUAUAUCUUUUUGUUUUACUGUAUACCGUCUGAGUAAAAAAUUCAUAAUGAAUCA